rnacentral:lncRNA from 1 species
AAUUAAAUCUCUUUCCUUCACCUGGGAUUACAGAGGUUUUUGCAUUCAAGGCCGGGCCAGCUCUCUUGAGGACAUCCAUCUUCUUCCUUGCACAUCUGCCCUGUCCUCCUGAGACUCACACAGCCUGAGGAUGGGAAAUUGAGUCAUCUGUCUUCUGUAACCAUAUGGAUAAGAUGUAGUCAUUACCGUUCUUAGCAUUGUUGUGCUUUGGAAGCUAAUUAAGACAAUUAGCUAUUAAAUACCAAAAACAAUUAAGCUAAUUGAAAUAAAC